GUGAAGACAAAGAUGUCGGGAUUCUUCCAGAUGAGCUUUUACUUUGGCUAUACCCUAAUGUUUUGUCUUGGAUUAGGAAUUCUUUGCGGUAAGUAAAUGGCAGUCAGUUGAUCAUUUAAAGAUAAUCAUUUUGUUGCCUUCCCUUCCAUUCUUAAAAGUGAAUAUAUGAAUUUGCCACCUGCUGAUGGGCUUAUCUGUUUUCUAAUACAUCAUGAUAAUGUAUUAUAUGAUUAAAACUUCUUCUCUACAUUUCUCCCACUGUAUAUUUACAGCCCCUUUUUUAUGCAUUUCAGGUGCUGUUGGUUACUUGGGUUCUAAUCUGUUUGUAAGGAGGAUAUAUAGAAACAUCAAAAUCGACUAGUUUAUGAGCCGGGAGAGAGAAAUCUUUGUUCUCAUUGUCAGGGUGAUAUCGAGAGAAGCCUGCAGUACCUCCUUCAGAUACCUGGUAAUGUCCAUGUUUAAUAUGCAAGAUUUGAGGAUGAUCUGUAAUUCGGGAUCGUGGGAAGCCCUAAAAAAUUUCCCCGUUCUUCGGGUUGUAAAACCAAGUAUAAUUACAUAAAUUUAGAGUGAUUGUUUUCAUGACUGAAAAGAGGACGGAUGAUACUAGUUUUUUAUUUAGUUAUUUCUCUAAUCUUUCCGGACAAUGGAUUCUCUUUACCGGUACUGCAUGUUUGAAUAUCUUUUGCGAAUAGGUGUUCUUGGGAGAGCGACUAUUACUGGAAUGGGGAAAUGAGUUUUGUCUUAUGACAGUCAUCUCUAUAGAGCAUUAUAUUUUAAGUAAUACUACUACUUAGCAUCAUUGAUGUCAUUAAAUGAUCGGUACUUUUAAAUGUGAUGUUACAUGAUUUAUUUAAGGGUAAUUGGCACAAAAAGUCCA
rnacentral:lncRNA from 1 species